rnacentral:lncRNA from 1 species
ACUCCCCACUCUUGCUCGACUUAUCCACUCAAAUGAUGAAGAAGUCCUGACAGAUGCAUGCUGGGCUCUAUCAUAUCUUUCUGAUGGAACUAAUGACAAAAUCCAGGCUGUUAUUGAAGGUGGAGUGUGUCCCCGCCUUGUUGAGCUGCUACUGUGAGUCAUAGAUCUUACUUUUUUGGGGUUUGUUUCGGGCUUUCGUUGUGCCAAAAUCAUAUCUUCUGAUGCUCUGCAUUGUCUUGACUGGAGUGUGUCCCCGCCUUAUUGAGCUGCUACUGUGAGUCAUAGAUCUUACUUUUUUGGGGUUUGUUUCGGGCUCUCAUUGUGCCAAAAUCAUUUCUGAUGCUCUGCAUUGUCGUCAUCUUCUUUUUGUGUGUAGUCAU